rnacentral:rRNA from 1 species
UACGUAGGGUGCAAGCGUUGUCCGGAAUUAUUGGGCGUAAAGAGCUCGUAGGCGGUUUGUCGCGUCUGCUGUGAAAUCUGGGGGGCUCAACCCCCCAGCCUGCAGUGGGUACGGGCAGACUAGAGUGUGGUAGGGGGAGAUCGGAAUUCCUGGUGUAGCGGUGAAAUGCGUAGAUAUCAGGAGGAACACCUGCGGUGUAGACGGCUUACUGGACCAUAACUGACGCUGAGGCACGAAAGCGUGGGUAGCAAACAGG